GGAUGUGAGGGCGAUCUGGCUGCGACAUCUGUCACCCCAUUGAUCGCCAGGGUUGAUUCGGCUGAUCUGGCUGGCUAGGCGGGUGUCCCCUUCCUCCCUCACCGCUCCAUGUGCGUCCCUCCCGAAGCUGCGCGCUCGGUGGAAGAGGACGACCAUCCCAGAUAGAAGGAGUGUACCGUUCUUCGGUCAAGGGUAUACGAUAGCUGCGCUCCCCUGCUAGAACCUCCAAACAAGCUCAAGGUGAAUCAAGCCUGAGCCCUGGGAUGCUUCAGAUAAUGCAUGAAUACACACCAUUGGCUUAUUCAUAUGUUCCACUGAAUUCAGGUACAA